GUCUCUUUGAGUAUUUUUAAUAGAGAGUCGGGCCUGCUCGGUGAUUAAUAUUAAACAGCUGCGGUAUUAUAACUGUACUAAGGUAGCAUAAUAAUUUGCCUUAUAAAUUGAGGCUAGAAUGAAUGGUUUGACGAAAAUUAUACUGUCUCUAGUUUAUUUAUUAGAAGUUAAUUUUUAUAGUGAAAAAGCUUAAAUAAUUUAAUAGGACAAGAAGACCCUAUUGAGCUUUAUAUUAUAUUUUAAAAUUAUAAUUAUAUUUAUUUGAUAUAAUUUUGGUUGGGGUGAUCAAGGAAUAAGAGGAUUAUAAUUAACUUCCUUAAAAUAUUUAAUAUAUAUAUAUUAAUAAACCAAAUAGUUUUGCUUAAAAGAUAAGUUACCAUAGGGAUAACAGCGUAAUUUUUUUUGAAAGUUCUUAUUGAAAAAAGAGAUUGCGACCUCGAUGUUGGAUUAAAAUAACCUUAAGGUGUAGAGGCUUUAAUUGGUGAAUCUGUUCGAUUUUUAAAAUUUU
rnacentral:rRNA from 1 species